ACAGCAACACCAAAAAGGUAUUCUCGAAGUAAUCCGUGGUUGAACAAACGGUAUCGAGUUAUUGGUUCACCACCAAGUGCAUUACAUACACUCGAGAAUGAAUGCAAUUUUACGUUUCCUAGAAGAUCAUUGAGAUUU